UUGACCGUGCCAAGGUAGCAUAAUCUAUUGUCUUUUAAUUAAAGGCUUGUAUGAAUGGUUGAAUGAGAUAUUAACUAUUUUUAUUUUAAUAAAAAUGAAUUUUAAUUUUUAGUAAAAAUGCUAAAAUAAAAAAAUUAGACGAGAAGACCCUAUAAAUCUUAAUUUUAUUUUUUAUAAUAUUAAUUUUGAAAAUUUUUAAUAAAUUAUAAAAAUAAAAUUUUAUUGGGAGGAUAAUGAAAUUUAAUAAACUUUUAUUUUUUUUUUAUAAAUAUAAUUAAAUUAUUGAAUAUAUAAUUAUAAAAUAUUUAAAAAAUUAAGUUACUUUAGGGAUAACAGCGUAAUUAUUUUAAAGAGUUCUUAUCGAUAAAAUAGUUUGCGACCUCGAUGUUGAAUUAAGGAUUACACUGUACGCGGCCCCG
rnacentral:rRNA from 1 species